rnacentral:misc_RNA from 1 species
GAUGAAGAACGUAGCGAAAUGCGAUACGUAAUGUGAAUUGCAGAAUUCAGUGAAUCAUCGAAUCUUUGAACGCACAUUGCGCCCCCUGGUAUUCCGGGGGGCAUGCCUGUCCGAGCGUCAUUACAACCCUCAAGCUCAGCUUGGUGUUGGGCCCCGCCGCCCCGGCGGGCCCUAAAGUCAGUGGCGGUGCCGUCCGGCUCCGAGCGUAGUAAUUCUUCUCGCUCUGGAGGCCCGGUCGUGUGCUCGCCAGCAACCCCCAAUUUUUUUCAGGUUGACCUCGGAUCAGGUAGGGAUACCCGCUGAACUUAAGCAUAUCAAUAAGCGGAGGA